GGAUCAGUGGCGAACGGGUGAGUAACACGUGAGCAACCUGCCCCUGACUCUGGGAUAAGCGCUGGAAACGGCGUCUAAUACUGGAUAUGUGACGUGACCGCAUGGUCUGCGUCUGGAAAGAAUUUCGGUUGGGGAUGGGCUCGCGGCCUAUCAGCUUGUUGGUGAGGUAAUGGCUCACCA
rnacentral:rRNA from 1 species